CACGUAGGCGGACUAUUAAGUGAGGGGUGAAAUCCCAGGGCUCAACCCUGGAACUGCCUCUCAUACUGGUAGUCUUGAGUUCGAGAGAGGUGAGUGGAAUUCCGAGUGUAGAGGUGAAAUUCGUAGAUAUUCGGAGGAACACCAGUGGCGAAGGCGGCUCACUGGCUCGAUACUGACGCUGAGGUGCGAAAGUGUGGGGAGCAAACAGGAUUAGAUACCCUGGUAGUCC
rnacentral:rRNA from 1 species